UACGUAGGUGGCAAGCGUUGUCCGGAUUUACUGGGCGUAAAGCGAACGCAGGCGGACCUUUUAAGUAGGAAGUGAAAGGUUGGAGCUCAACUCUAACACUGCUCCCUAUACUGGAGGUCUUGAGUGCCGGAGAGGAAGACGGAACAAGUUGUGUAGCGGUGAAAUGCGUUGAUAUAACUUGGAACACCAAUGGCGAAAGCAGUCUUCUGGACGGAUACUGACGCUCAGGUUCGAAAGCCAAAGGUAGCAAACAGG
rnacentral:rRNA from 1 species